rnacentral:rRNA from 1 species
UCCUGGCUCAGGAUGAACGCUAGCGGAGGCCUAACACAUGCAAGCUGAGCGUAUUGUCUUUCGGGACAGAGAGAGCGCGUACGGGUGCGUAACACGUGUGCAACCUGCCUUUAUCAGGAGGAUAGCCUUUCGAAAGGAAGAUUAAUACUCCAUAAUAUAUUAAUUGGCAUCAAUUGAUAUUGAAACUCCGGUGGAUAAAGAUGGGCACGCGCAAGAUUAGAUAGUUGGUGAGGUAACGGCUCACCAAGUCGAUGAUCUUUAGGGGGCCUGAGAGGGUGAUCCCCCACACUGGUACUGAGACACGGACCAGACUCCUACGGGAGGCAGCAGUGAGGAAUAUUGGACAAUGGGUUAGCGCCUGAUCCAGCCAUCCCGCGUGAAGGAUUAAGGACCUAUGGUUUGUAAACUUCUUUUGUACAGGGAUAAACCUACCCUCGUGAGGGUAGCUGAAGGUACUGUACGAAUAAGCACCGGCUAACUCCGUG